UGAUGAUCCUGGUGAUACUCUCAUCAAGUUAAUGUUUGAAAAAUCAUGUGGCUUUUUACUUUGCUGUAUCUCUGCCCCCUGAGCCCUGGAGAAGUCAUGGAGUUCCUUGGCUGCCCUGAAAUCAGCAGGUACUGAAGGAAAUGGUGUUGGGUACUCAGGGGUGGCUUUCUGUUCAGGCAUGACCUGAGCAAAAGGAUU
rnacentral:lncRNA from 1 species